UACGUAGGGGGCUAGCGUUGUCCGGAUUUAUUGGGCGUAAAGAGCGUGUAGGCGGCCAGGUAGGUCUGCUGUGAAAACUCGAGGCUCAACCUCGAGACGUCGGCGGAAACCAUCUGGCUAGAGUCCGGAAGAGGAGAGUGGAAUUCCCGGUGUAGCGGUGAAAUGCGCAGAUAUCGGGAAGAACGACCCGUGGCUAAGGCGGCUCUCUAGUACGGUACUGACGCUGAGACGCGAAAGCGUGGGGAGCGAACGAGG
rnacentral:rRNA from 1 species